CUUCUCACAUACGCUUGGUCAUAACCCUCUCUCUCAUCCUCUCAAAAUCUUUCGAACGGCAAAUCCUCUCCUCCGAAACCCUAAUCGGUGUCCUCACGGAAAGCAGCAGUAACAACCUUUGCAGAUCUCUUUAUAUCUUUCACGUAGCGAACCCUAUCAUUCAUCACUCUCCCAAUCGUGCAGAUCUUCUACUGGUUGUACUGAACAUAAGGUCGGAUGGUUGAAGUUUAGGACCAGAAGAACAACAAAGAGCGAAAUUGUUUCACUAGGUUAAAGAUUUGAUGUUGGUGUCAGCUGUGAUAUUAGACGACUCGGCCUAAAGGCCGUUUGAACAAGAUUUGUUCAAGAUGGCUUCGUAUAAGGUAUGUUUUAGUGUUUUUGGUUUCCUUUUUGCAGCGUUGAUGGUGUCUCGAAGACCUAGCCACCGCCACCGACAAUGGCUGCUAGGGUUCCGGCGAUCCGCUUUGAAUAAAGUAAGUGGGGUUGAGAGGAGGCUUCAAUUGGCUUUCAGGUUUUGCUUUCAGUGUUGCCUCUUUGAUCGAUUGCUUCACUGAGAAACUGCUAGCGACAUCUUCAGUUACUUAUGUUUGAUUCGCGUUACCGAUUUUUGGAGCGGAGUAAUCGUGACCUUACUUGUGUGGGUAUCAAACAUCCGAGCAACUGAGCACAGGUCAUGCGAUUCUUUUUUAAAUUUUUACUGAGUUUGAAUUUUAUAGUCUUUAUUGAGAUUUGUAUUGAUAUUUGUCUGUAAACAAGUUUUGGUGGUUGUUGCAAUGGCUAAAGCCCCGUCACGGUAACCUCCUUAAAGGUUCACUUACAACAAGAAAUAAAGCAAGAAUCUGAGUAGUUCAGAUUACCAAAGGCCUCACGGGAAAGAAAUACUUCAGGUGAUGUGGUGCUAAAUUUUGACUGUGGUGAUGUGGAAAUGCCAGCUGGAUAUGCUAAAAAAAUUAUGAAGAUGGAAUUGUAGGCCUUGAUGAGACUGACCAUAUCAUGCAAGACUUGUGCGAAUGGUAUGGCGCAACAUGUUUACUCUGGUGAUCUGGAAAUGACAACAAAGAAAAUGAUGAUGAUGGCACUAUAGGCCUUGAUAAAAAUGAUCAUGAGACUGGUCCGAAUGAUAUGGCACCACACGUUGACUCUGGUGACAUGGGAAUGCCAAUUGGAAACGACAACAAAGAAAAUGAUGAGUGUGGCAUUGUAGAUCUUGAUACAUCUCAUGUUGUCGAAGCCCCUCACCUAAACUCUUGAUGUGGAGAUAAAAGUUUAAUCUUUUGAGAUGACAACACCAGCUGGCACAUGCGACGAAGAGGGAGAGAUCGUUUAGAGCCAUUCUUUCCGCCCUGAGGUAAAACGACUGGGCAGAAAUUUCCACUAUACACCUCUAUGAUCAUCCUCUUUAGCAGAUAUGGUGGAGAGGAAAGUAGAGGUGGUUGCAAGGUGGAAGUCUUGGAAGAGGAAGCAACUCCAUUGAUUACAAUUCUACAAAAUCCAAAUGCAAUAUAAUCUUCAGAUGAUUAGUGAACGAUAUCUAGCAGGCACUGGUAGAUAAUUUGUAGGCUAAUUUGAGUGAUUAAAGAGUAUUUGACCUCUUCGAUUUGUUUUGCGAGAUCUUUAUUCAGUAUGUUUGGAGAUUUGUUCAUUCGUGAAGGCUAUCAGUUUGACUAUGUAUUUGAUUGGACCGUAUUAAAGUAUCCACAAAUUGGUGCAAGCUCCAGAACACGGAUUCAAAGUAUGAAUAUUGGUCAAAAUGUUGGGACAUCUGCAGAAAAACCAGGAAGUACGUCAGGCAACUCGAUUAAAAAAAAGCUCGAUCUUCUAGAAAAGGGAGUUCGUCAAAACGUGCCUCCUUUUUAAGCAGCAACAAACCAGCUUCUUCAGCAGAUGCGACAUAUGGCAUAUCAAGCCGACUCAUGUCAAGUAGUGGGGGGGGGGGGCGCUUAUCUACUACUCAAAGAGGAUACGACACCAAACCAUUUGCAUCUGGUACUUCAAAAGGCGGCCGUGAAGAUUAGGAUGGCACAUGUCAUAAUGAUUCAUGACUUCCUACACUUUUUAGUCUUAAACUUUAUGAUCCGCUUUGCGCUUAAUGUCUAGAAUUAUAUAAGGGCUUAGUUUAAUGUUUCGGAAAUUUUGUAAUGGCUAUGCUUUUGUUUUCUGUUUCCUUUCCGUUUCUUUGUAGUUGUUUUGUGUUUUCAGCCCCUUG